ACACAGACUCGAUGUCGAGCAGCGGUGGAGCUCGAUCGCUCUGUCCGUCGUCCGGUCGCCUCUCGGUGCAAGGCCGGUGUCCACAGGGACGUCUCGUUGUCCCCGUCUUUAAGAUGAUCUUCGUUUUCGAUGAGAAGCUCCGGUGAGAGAGAAAAGGAGGAGAGAAAGCGAUUGGGUUUCCGGUCGAGUUCGGGAUUCCGGCCACGGCGGCUAGCGUGACCGGUAUUGUUAGCUUCCUCUCGUCCUCGUGGUCUUCACUAUGUCCUCGUGGUCUUCACUAUGUCCUCAGUUUCUUCAGAAGAGGUCGGGAGAGAGAGAUUCGAAGUGGAGAAGGAGAGGCUGGGUUCGCCGGCGAGUUUCCGAUUCCGGCAAAGUCCAGGUCUCUCACUGGUAAGGAUAGCUUCAUCUCGAUCUCAGGAACCUUUCCAAGUUCCUGGUUUUCGAAGAGAAGCUCGGAGGAGGGAGAAUCGAAGAGAAGAAGUUCUAGGAUUUUCCGGCGAGGGUUCGAAGCUUUCCGGCCACCGUCGAUGACAAGUGAGGUAUCAAUCUUCAUCUACUCUUCGAGUUCUACCUGUUUGUAUAAUUGAAUUCAAGUUUGGAUGUGAAUUGGAGAAGUUGGGUUUAUGGCAGUGGGUGACCGCUGUGUGUGCCACUGUGCACAGCGAUGGUGGAGGUGUUUUGAUUCAUUUCUGGUUUUGGAUUUCAUGUUGUGGAAUAUAUGAGUGUUGUCUGUGUAAUUGAAAUUGUAUUUGGUUGAGUUUUGGAGAAUGUGGGAUUUUGGGCAGUGUGUGCAGUUGUUAUGCUCGACGGCGGCGAUAGUGGUGAUUGAGUAUUUCUGGAUUCUGGUGAGCUUGGCAGUAGCAGUAGAAUUCAAUUGUGUUGUUGUGUUGUUUGAAUUGCAGAAAGCGGGAAGUUGGGAUGAUGGAUUAGAUGAUAGUUAGAAGAAUGAGUUUCGAAUAUUGAAGCAUGGUUUAAGUUGAUCAUGUUUUAUUGGUAGGAAGAUGAUAAUCUGGGUCACAUGAAGAUGGGUUACGUGAUUAGCAUCUUGUAUUUCUUUUGUCGUCAACAAGUCUACUUUCCAUUAUGAAGAAGAUGUGGUUUAAUUAAGAAAGAAGAUAGAGCAGCUGAUUUACGUUGGUAAUUAAGGAUUGAUGGUUGAAUUAGGUGUUGUUACUUACUAUUGACCAAGAUGUUUAAUUGGAAGUAUUUUGGGAAGGCUGAGAACUUGGGGUGUCUAGAUUAAUUCAUUGAGAUUUGGAUCGGCAUUUGGGGUGCAAUUGGUAUUCGACGAUGGAGUCUGAAAACUAGUGGAGACGCAUUUUGGGUGUACAUAGCAAUUUAGAAUCAUUCUAUGAAGAAGUAAAUGGAAUUUGGAGACGAUGAAGAAAUCAGAGCAAAGAGUCUUGGGUGCCCAUAGCAAUUUCGGCAUAUAUGAGGAUUCGGUACGAGGAUCAAAUGCGAGUAGCUAGAUUGCAGGAGCAGAAGGAUAAGGAUUUCAGAAUGCGUGUCGCAGCGUCACUAAUUUUAAUUAGCAUCAGAACUAGCUGUCGGAUUCCAGUUUUGGAUGUAGGUUCUGUGCACAAGAAUGGGAUUGAGCUGGAUUGAGCUGGGUGUGCAUAUUUAAUUAAAGUUAAAUGUCCUUCUCGAAUUUGUUAUCGUACGUAAGGUUUCCAUUUUGUAUCCUGAUUACUCGACACAUUUCCUUGUGUUUUAUUUGAAAACCUUGUCGAAGUUGUAUGUUUUGUCAGCUACUUUAUUCUAUUUUCUUGU